GAACAAGGAGAAGAGAGGGAGAGUUGCGGUAAUUCCAGCCGUUAUUGUUGGAGGUGAUGUCGGUUGUCGCGCUGCCAAGUUAAACUAGAAACAAAAAUCAAAUCAAAUAAAAACUGAUGGCCUGUCCUUGGAUCAAGCAAGGAUUUUUCGGUAGUGUUUUUUGAUUGGUUCCUUACCCAGCCAAAUCCUACAUCAUUCUGUUACAAUCUUUGAAGAGGAUAAGAGAAACUCACUUUUACUAGAAAAGAAAA